rnacentral:rRNA from 1 species
UAGGGAAUCUUCGGCAAUGGGGGCAACCCUGACCGAGCAACGCCGCGUGAGUGAAGAAGGUUUUCGGAUCGUAAAGCCCUGUUGUAAGUCAAGAACGGGUGUGAGAGUGGAAAGUUCACACUGUGACGGUAGCUUACCAGAAAGGGACGGCUAACUACGUGCCAGCAGCCGCGGUAAUACGUAGGUCCCGAGCGUUGUCCGGAUUUAUUGGGCGUAAAGCGAGCGCAGGCGGUUUGAUAAGUCUGAAGUUAAAGGCUGUGGCUCAACCAUAGUUCGCUUUGGAAACUGUCAAACUUGAGUGCAGAAGGGGAGAGUGGAAUUCCAUGUGUAGCGGUGAAAUGCGUAGAUAUAUGGAGGAACACCGGUGGCGAAAGCGGCUCUCUGGUCUGUAACUGACGCUGAGGCUCGAAAGCGUGGGGAGCGAACAGGAUUAGAUACCCUGGUGAGUCCACGCCGUAAACGAUGAGUGCUAGGUGUUGGAUCCUUUCCGGGAUUCAGUGCCGAAGCUAACGCAUUAAGCACUCCGCCUGGGGAGUACGACCGCAAGAUUGAA